AGUGAUUCCUGCGUGAAUCAAAUAGUAAUUUACUUUUCAGUUUUCUAUUUAAACAACUCGAAGUGUUUAGAGUUGUUUAGGCUUAAUUCAAUGUAGCCUCAGAGCUUCUCUCUCUAGAAAGCUCUUCUGAGGUCCUCUCCCUUCUCUCUAGAGUUAGCCGGAGACGAAGCUUUCAGCUUCGACCUUCUUAGUUAAAGAUGAAGACGAAGUCCUUAAUACUUCGAUCUUCCCCCUUAAACAUUUAGUCUAGGAAUUAAUGUAAUCCCUUCCUCAAAUGUUUAUAAAUAAAAGAAAGAGAUUACUUUAUCGAUU
rnacentral:lncRNA from 1 species